AAUUGAAGAGUUUGAUCAUGGCUCAGAUUGAACGCUGGCGGCAGGCCUAACACAUGCAAGUCGAACGGUAACAGAAAGCAGCUUGCUGCUUUGCUGACGAGUGGCGGACGGGUGAGUAAUGUCUGGGAAACUGCCUGAUGGAGGGGGAUAACUACUGGAAACGGUAGCUAAUACCGCAUAACGUCGCAAGACCAAAGAGGGGGACCUUCGGGCCUCUUGCCAUCGGAUGUGCCCAGAUGGGAUUAGCUUGUUGGUGGGGUAACGGCUCACCUAGGCGACGAUCCCUAGCUGGUCUGAGAGGAUUACCAGCCACACUGGAACUGAGACACGGUCCAGACUCCUACGGGAGGCAGCAGUGGGGAAUAUUGCACAAUGGGCGCAGGCCUGAUGCAGCCAUGCCGCGUGUAUGAAGAAGGCCUUCGGGUUGUAAAGUACUUUCAGCGGGGAGGAAGGGAGUAAAGUUAAUACCUUUGCUCAUUGACGUUACCCGCAGANGAAGCAC
rnacentral:rRNA from 1 species